rnacentral:rRNA from 1 species
AGCGAACGCUGGCGGCAGGCUUAACUCAUGCAAGUCGAGCGCCCCGCAAGGGGAGCGGCAGACGGGUGAGUAACACGUGGGAACGUACCCUUUGGUUCGGAACAACCCAGGGAAACUUGGGCUAAUACCGGAUACGUCCGUAAGGAGAAAGAUUUAUCGCCAAAGGAUCGGCCCGCGUCUGAUUAGCUAGUUGGUGAGGUAAUGGCCCACCAAGGCUACGAUCAGUAGCUGGUCUGAGAGGAUGAUCAGCCACAUUGGGACUGAGACACGGCCCAAACUCCUACGGGAGGCAGCAGUGGGGAAUAUUGGACAAUGGGGGCAACCCUGAUCCAGCCAUGUCGCGUGAGUGAUGAAGGCCCUAGGGUUGUAAAGCUCUUUUAGCAGGGAAGAUAAUGACGGUACCUGCAGAAAAAGCCCCGGCUAACUUCGUGCCAGCCGCCGCGGUAA